GAUGAACGCUGGCGGCGUGCCUAAUACAUGCAAGUCGAGCGAAUGGAUUGAGAGCUUGCUCUUAUGAAGUUAGCGGCGGACGGGUGAGUAACACGUGGGUAACCUGCCCAUAAGACUGGGAUAACUCCGGGAAACCGGGGCUAAUACCGGAUAACAUUUUGAACCGCAUGGUUCGAAAUUGAAAGGCGGCUUCGGCUGUCACUUAUGGAUGGACCCGCGUCGCAUUAGCUAGUUGGGGAGGUAACGGCUCACCAAGGCAACGAUGCGUAGCCGACCUGGGAGGGUGAUCGGCCACACUGGGACUGCGACACGGCCCAGACUCCUACGGGAGGCAGCAGUAGGGUAUCUUCCGCAAUGGACGAAAGUCUGACGGAGCAACGCCGCGUGAGUGAUGAAGGCUUUCGGGUCGUAAAACUCUGUUGUUAGGGAAGAACAAGUGCUAGUUGAAUAAGCUGGCACCUUGACGGUACCUAACCAGAAAGCCACAGCUAACUACGUGCCAGCCGCCGCAGUAA
rnacentral:rRNA from 1 species